rnacentral:rRNA from 1 species
CCUACGGGGGGCAGCAGUGAGGAAUAUUGGUCAAUGGGCGCGAGCCUGAACCAGCCAAGUAGCGUGAAGGAUGACUGUCCUACGGGUUGUAAACCUCUUUUAUCAAGGAAUAAAGUGAGGCACGUGUGCCUUUUUGUAUGUACUUUAUGAAUAAGGAUCGGCUAACUCCGUGCCAGCAGCCGCGGUAAUACGGAGGAUCCGAGCGUUAUCCGGAUUUAUUGGGUUUAAAGGGAGCGUAGACGGGUUGUUAAGUCAGUUGUGAAAGUUUGCGGCUCAACCGUAAAAUUGCAAUUGAUACUGGCAGCCUUGAGUACAGGUGAGGUAGGCGGAAUGCGUGGUGUAGCGGUGAAAUGCUUAGAUAUCACGAAGAACUCCGAUUGCGAAGGCAGCUUACUAAAUUGCCACUGACAUUGAUGCUCGAAAGUGUGGGUAUCAAACAGGAUUAGAUACCCUAGUAGUC